rnacentral:rRNA from 1 species
UACGAAGGGUGCAAGCGUUGUUCGGAAUUACUGGGCGUAAAGGGCUCGUAGGUGGCCAACUAAGUCAGACGUGAAAUCCCUCGGCUUAACCGGGGAACUGCGUCUGAUACUGGAUGGCUUGAGUUCGGGAGAGGGAUGCGGAAUUCCAGGUGUAGCGGUGAAAUGCGUAGAUAUCUGGAGGAACACCGGUGGCGAAGGCGGCAUCCUGGACCGACACUGACACUGAGGAGCGAAAGCCAGGGGAGCAAACGGG